rnacentral:tRNA from 1 species
GGGAGGGUAAGCUCAGGAGUAGAGCACAGGCUUAGCAUGCAGGAGGUCCUGGGUUCAAUCCCCAGCACUUCCA